rnacentral:lncRNA from 1 species
GGAGUACCAAAAUGGAAGACCACUGCAAUGUAACCUGCAAAGGGCAUGAAGACCAGGAUCGGUGAAGAACUGGGGCCAUCUUGACAAUCCACCAUAGCCUACAUUCAUGGGAACAAAGCAAAGAACAUAGUUUUUCAAAGACUGAAUAAAACAGAAAAAUGUGUCUCUUCUGCUCACCAGCAUCACUGGUCAUUCUCUUGAAGCAACUCAAAACAGCUCCUCUCAAAUACAUAACAUUGAGCAGUAAAAGCACAUUGCAGAAUACUUCAAAAAGUUCAUGGAAAAUGGAACUAAAAGUAAGUUUAUUUUGGUGUAAUUUUUUAAAAUCUAUGCAUACUAUUAGAUUAUUGAUUCAAGCACUGAUCAGUUAUAAACUUUUAACAUUCUUUAUGUCUUUAUGAGUCAACAUUGGCAGGUUAUUUGUUUCCAAGAAUUUGUCCAUUUCAUAUAGGUUAUUUUACUCUCUUGCAAUUUUAUUUUUGUAAAACUGUUGCCAUGUUCCUCCUUUCAGUUCUGAUUUAAGUUAUUUAUGUUCUCUUAUUUUUUUCCUAAGAUUUAUUUUAUUUAUUUAAAAGACAGAGUUACAGAGAGAGGUAGAGACAGAGAGAGGUCUUCCAUCUGCUGGUUCACUUCUCAGAUGGCUGCAAUGGCCGGAGCUGUGCCAAGCCAAAGCCAGGAACCAGGAGCUUCUUCUGGUGUCCCACGUGGGUGCAGGAGCCCAAGAACUUGGGCCAUCCACUAUUGCUAUCCCAGGCCAUAGCAGAGAGCUGGAUCGGAAGAAGAGCAGCUGGGACUAGAACCAGCGCCCAUAUGAGAUGCCAGCUCUUAAGGCCAGGGCUUUAAUCUGCUGUGCCACAGUGCUACCCCCACCCAUU